AGAAAUGCCUCAAAUGAAUACCGAUAUAAUGAGUACAAAGUUGGGAACGCAUGCCACGAAUGUCUUCCUGGGUACUUUGGGUGAAAUUGUUCCAGAAUAUGUGAUGAGAAGACUUAUGGUUCAUUGUGUUCUAAAAAAUGUCACUGUUCACCAGAGGAAUGUGACCCAAAGGAUGGAUGUUCAAUUUCAUCAGUAGCGUGUCCCCCAGGUUAUUAUGAAGAGGGUUGCUCUAAACCAUGUCCUGAAAAGACAUAUGGGGUAUCUUGUGGUGGGACGUGUGAUUGUUCACCUGAAGAAUGUAAUCAUGAAGUCGGAUGUACGAAUUCUGAAGCAUCAACAUUGCAGACAGUAUAUAUAAAUGAAGUGUCCACAUCGCAGUCAACAGAUGUCAAUGAAAGUGAGAAUACAUUUACCAUGCCUGUCUAUAGUUCUUCAAAUCCAUCGUAUAUGUCUCUUUUAAUAUAAAAUUUCUGUUUCGGCAAUUUGUCGUGAUGAUGUUCGACAUUCGUAAAUGUUUAGGUGCAGUAUGAGGGGAGACGUUUUUCCCCUUAUUUUAUCUAAUAUUUGUGUACAUAGUUUUGUUUGUGACGCAGUCGAUCAUUUUCCACAAAAACUGUGUAUUGAUGCAUUGUGACAUCAUCAGUUUCAGAGAGACAUUAUCUGGAAUCAGUGUAGUGAUCCGGAAACCUAUGGUAUCAAAAUACGGAUUAUUGAUGGGUAUAUAAUAAAAUGUAAUGUCCAUGGUUGGAUGAUAAUUUGACAAAAAAUCGCUCUUUCUGUCUAUCCCCUCUAACUGAAUUCCAUGAGGGAUAAUCAUUUAGGAAAACUGCAGAAAACGGUAGAAAGAUGCGCAAAACACGAAGAUUAAAAAGUUCUAUGUAAUAUAUGAUUGUUCUAUGAAGCAUGAAACUCGAUCAGGGCAAAUCCAUUUUAUUUCAUCGCGGCUUGCAUUUUUCGAAAAAUAGGUAUGUAUAGGUGAUUUCAUUUUAAUCGUUCUUCUCAUUUUGUAUUUCACACACUUCUUCGUGAUAUUCUCUCUAAUGCUUUUUGUGUACUGGUGAUGGAUAUUCAAAUGCUCUAAGAAAGAGAUAAAAUUACGCUGAAAACCAUCCAUCUAAUUGAUGGAACGACCAUUUUUCAUUACGAAGACAUUUUGUGAUGUUCAAGCUGCUCAAACUAUGCGGAGGAAUUUCGAUGGUGUGAUGAGUCAGUACCAGUUAAUUGAAGGUAACUAUUUUUCAUUGUAAGGACGACCUCCUCUUAUGUUGGAUACGUUUGUUUGGAAAAAGGAGGUGAUUAAAAGAACUACGCACGCUAUCUCUGGAUUACCGCCUACAUUUUCAGCUCGUAUGUUUCAAAAAGCCUCGCAAUUUUGUUAAUGAGUUUUUAAUGCAAAAUAGAAUCCAUUCGUAAUUGAUUAUUGACUUUAAUACCAGUGUUAAUUAAUCAAUUGUUCUUAAUUUCAACUCAUUUAAUCAAGGUUAGAAAAAUAUGUUCCUUGAAACUGGGCUCUAAAACGUCAUGUUUUUUUAAAAUCCCAAAUAACCAUUUAAUACUUGUCAAAUUACUUUAUAAAAUUGAGUAAAAAUGGUUAAUCUUCAUUUUUCACACUUUAACACAACCCUUACUUUUAACGAACUUUUUCGCCCAAUCUUUUCGGUUGUUGAAAUCCAGAUCAUAACGGCAUUUACAAUUCAAGUAAAAAUCAAUUAUUUAUCAGAGAUCGAUGAUUGAUUUGCAUAAAUGCGGUUAAUAUCACAGUUCUGGUUUCGAAAGUGACCAUACAGAGUGGCUCUAUCAUGUUCUUUAAUACACCUGCUAACAUUGUUGGUAGAAAGUUCUUGUAUACAAUAUCACAGAAUCCUAAAAUAAUCAAACGAACUCUAGGCGUUUUAUCAUUCUGUUUUAUCACUUUUUAAAACUAUAAGUAUGUUGGGUUUAGCUGACACUGCUAUGUACCUACAUGUACAUAUAUGCAUAAAAUUCUUUUUCAAGUAGUUUUUAACAAUAUCAAAGCUAUAAAUGUUUUUCUUAUACUCAUACACAAUGCUAUAAUAGUACUUUGGCACAGAAUCCUACAUUUGGUGGUAACAAAGAAAUUGACAGGCCCAUAAAGAUUGCAUUGCAAUAUUGAUGAUUGGAUGUCGUCUAAAGAUUAUUGUUGGGAAAAUGAAUCGUUAGAUACAGCUCAUGUUGUAAAAUACACGUCAAAGACUUUGAUAUGUAACACUUUUAUUUGGUUGUUUUCGUGUAUUCAAUUUACAUCCUUUCGAUACUUUGUUUUCUGAUGGUAAUUCGUAUUCCUGAUCUAUUAUUAUAUAUUGAAUUUAUUAACUAAAAAUAAUUAAAAAUGCUUACUUCUGGUUUAUCAUUACAACCAGUGCUCUUAUUUUAAUCUUUGAUCCGUUGAAUUUCUUUUUGUAAAAUAGGCGUAUAGCGAAGAUUUAUGACAUAAACCUAGUGCUGUUUUGGCAGACCCUCAGAGUGAAAAUGGUCGUUUACACAGAGAUUUGUUUAACAAUUGAUAUAUUUUAUGCAUUAGUAUGUGGAAGAGUCCCAAUACAUUUGCAGCAACAAAAGUAUACAGUCGCGCUGGUGAUUGUUGUUACACAGCAUAAAAUGAAAUUA